rnacentral:lncRNA from 1 species
CUCCAUUAGCCUCACUAAAGCCAACUGCCCAGCCUUUGCCUGUUCCAUUCUCCCUGUCCAAAGCACCUGCUCUUCCGGUCCUCAAGGACAUGUGAUGUCUCACCCCUUCUGGAUGCCCUGGUCUUCAGCAGACUGGGUACCACCAGAUGUAGGCUGCUUUUACCAGGCUCUUACCUGGGGGCCAGGAGUCUGGAAACGGAGGAUCGUGGCAGUUCUGUGGUAAGGGGAGAGAAGCGGGGAGUCACGCCACAGACACCCAAACAUGAACACCCGCAGGGGCUGACACAUCUGUGCCUAGGCACAGUCAUAGAUACAACCUGUGCAAUGCACAUCCCACCGCAGCUCUGCCCUCUGCCUUCU